rfam:Triticum aestivum genome assembly, contig: Triticum_aestivum_CS42_TGACv1_scaffold_061531_1DL
AUAGUACUCCCUCCGUCCCAAAAUUCUUGUCUUAGAUUUAUCUAGAUACGGAUGUAUCUAACGCUAAAAAUGUGAAUAGAUAUAUCCGUAUGUAGACAAAUCUAAAACAAGAAUUUUGGGACAGAGGGAGUAAGUU